UGGCGGCCGAAACCUGUGGAUGAGGUUGUUCGAAUGGGUUUGGUUAGGAAUGUUAGUAGUGCGUUGAUAUUAUCUAGUGAGUGUGAUCUAUGUUAAUUCGCUCAAACUGCUGGAUGUGGCGGUGGCUGAGCCGAAAUCAUAUUUUUCUCGCUCGAGUAAACGCAGCGGUUGCGAUGAAUAUUCUAUGCCAAAGGCCGAAAUUAUUACAUUAAUUAACGAAAUGACAAAUAUUAGCACUAGUAUGAUGUCGUUUAGUAUGAUGGCUGUUGUUUGUUCCGGUUUUCGAUUAAUGUUCAGGCUACCGAUUACCACAAAUAAGAUCCCCACAAUGAGCUGAAAAGAUAGGAGCGCAUACCAGAACAGUAUUGGCGUAUUGUUUUUUAUCCAUCAAACAGUGCGGAUAAAGUAGUUUAAAGCGAUUUUUUCUAACAUGGCUUUUCGGCAAACAAUACAAAUGACAUAUUUGUUAGUCAUAUCGCUUCAUUCAACGACAUACUUCAAAACCCUAGGAUCAAACGCAGAUAUCAUCAAAUUUACCAUGGCAACCAGAAAGGCAGCUCCAGUUACUAUGUAAUUGAUGACAGUAGUCGACCGAUGGUAUUCCGGCCUAUGCAGCCGGCAGUCGCGAAGUAAGCUCAGAGACAGAUUUAGCACACCCAUUGUGACCUUUCACCAUCAAAAGGGGAAGGAAUGUUAGCGUAUAGGGGAUUUCAAGAUACCACGUGUUAGUGCUGGUGAAGGUUUACUGGAUGAUGAUGGGGAAGUGAAAACACUUACCUGU